GCUCAGGAUGAACGCUAGCGGCAGGCCUAAUACAUGCAAGUCGAGGGGCAGCACAGGUAGCAAUACUGGGUGGCGACCGGCAAACGGGUGCGGAACACGUACGCAACCUUCCUUCAAGCGGGGAAUAGCCCAGAGAAAUUUGGAUUAAUACCCCAUAAGAAUGUGGACUGGCAUCAGUCAGCAUUUAAAGAUUUAUCACUUGAAGAUGGGCGUGCGUCUGAUUAGGUAGUUGGUGAGGUAACGGCUCACCAAGCCAACGAUCAGUAACUGGCGUGAGAGCGCGACCAGUCACACGGGCACUGAGACACGGGCCCGACUCCUACGGGAGGCAGCAGUAAGGAAUAUUGGUCAAUGGACGCAAGUCUGAACCAGCCAUGCCGCGUGGAGGAUGAAGGCCCUCU
rnacentral:rRNA from 1 species